UACGGAGGGUGCAAGCGUUAAUCGGAAUUACUGGGCGUAAAGCGCACGCAGGUGGCUGAGUCAGUCGAUUGUGAAAGCCCUGGGCUUAACCUGGGAAUUGCAGUCGAUACUACUCAGCUAGAGUAUGGGAGAGGGCAGUGGAAUUCCCGGUGUAGCGGUGAAAUGCGUAGAUAUCGGGAGGAAUACCGGUGGCGAAGGCGGCGUUCUGGACCAUUACUGACACUGAAUCGCGAAAGCUAGGGGAGCAAACGGG
rnacentral:rRNA from 1 species